rnacentral:rRNA from 1 species
AACGAACGCUGGCGGCAUGCCUAACACAUGCAAGUCGAACGAGACCUUCGGGUCUAGUGGCGCACGGGUGCGUACCGCGUGGGAACCUGCCCUUAGGUUCGGAAUAACUCCCCGAAAGGGGUGCUAAUACCGGAUAAUAUCUUCGGACCAAAGAUUUAUUGCCUUUGGAUGGGCCCGCGUUGGAUUCGCUAGUUGGUAGGGUACAAGCCUACCAAGGCGACGAUCCAUAGCUGGUCUGAGAGGAGGAUCAGCCACACUGGAACUGAGACACGGCCCAGACUCCUACGGGAGGCAGCAGUGGGGAAUAUUGGACGAUGGGCGAAAGCCUGAUCCAGCAAUGCCGCGUGAGUGAUGAAGGCCUUAGGGUUGUAAAGCUCUUUUACCCGGGAUGAUAAUGACAGUACCGGGUGAAUAAGCUCCGGCUAACUCCGUG